GAUCACAGGAGGGGAAGAAGGCGGCUCCGAGCAUAUUUUUUUUUGAGAAGAAAUAAAACUUCAGCAAGGGAACUUUGUUAUUAUAUCAAAGUUUUGCACAAACAUUGCUGCAGUGCUGGCUCAGUUUAUUCAGGUAAGUCUUUGUUUGUAUUAGAUGGGGGUAUAGACUGGUUUAGGUAGGCAGUAGAGCAUUUUUCUAGGAUUGUCUUGUUUAGAAAGAGAGUGUCUAAGCGAUAAAACACCUUAAAGUCUUUGGAAUGUCUCCUUUGCAGGACAAUUCCACUCUUGGCAGGUGAGUGGAGAUUCUGAUUCUUGUGCUAAGGGUGCAGGACAAGGCAUGCAUCUUUAAAGAGCUUUGUCAGUGACAGUCUUUGUGUAGGAAAAAUGCAGAUGCAGGUAACCUUAUUAUGCUGUGAUGUAUGAACUUGAUAUGUGAGUAGUAGUAUUUAUCUGAAUGCAAUAAAGCUAGCUAGAAAGAAGAAUCUGUUUAUUUCACAGGUCUCCUGGUCUGGAAAACAUCUCUCUGUGGUACUUUAAUGUUCCAAGAUAUUUUUGUUUUUGUUUUUAAUCAUGUGAUAUUGUAGAAAAAAUAUAUGCUCAGGCUGAAAAAUUUCAUCCUACACAAUUGUUUUUACAGGUUAUCUUAGCCUCUGGUACUGAAGCAUUUUCAGAAUAAUUGUGACCCUGUUUCUUUUGAUUGGGCUCUAGUGUAAUGAAAAAUCUAGAAGCAGAUGCAGCUAACCUUGGAGUACUAGAACUUCUGAGUGGUAAGUAGCUUCAGCCGUGGCAGCUAUUUGUGUUUCCAGGUUUUCCUGCUUUGGUUAAUUCACUGAAGCUUUGGCAGGUUACUUGGUAUCCUAUAUUUAUGGCAGGUAUGGGUCAAUGGACAAAUAUAUUUGCUAUUAUUCUUCAGUCCAAGCAUCUUUGUUUUACAUGGUGGGCCCUAGUGAACAAAAAGUCUAUAAGCAGAUGCAGGUAACUUUAAAAUGCUGGAUGCUUGUGAUCAGCAUAUGAGUAGAUAAAUGUGCAUGGAUAAAUCCUUGAUUUUUUGUAUUUCCAGGUCUUCCUGAUUUCGUCUGCCCACUGUGGAACUUCAGCCUUGGGCAGGUUACUUGCUAUCCUGUUUCUUUUCGUAGGUAUAAAAGUGGAGAGAAAAAUGCAUUACACUGUUGUCAUUCUUCAGCCUGUAUCUUUGUUUUACAGAUUUGGGCACCUGUAUAGGAAAAGUUGACCUUGGACUACUGAAGCUUGUGAUCAGCAUAUUGGGCAUCAGUAUAGGACAAGUCUAGUAGCAGAUGCAGGAAACCUUGGACUGCUGGAGCUUCUGAUAAGCACGUCUUCCUGGUUUGACACAUGCCUGCCUGCUGUGGUACGCAAGCCCUGACAAACUACUUGGGAUCCUAUUUCUUGUGGUAAGGCCCAGUGUGGAGAAAUCUAGCAGCAAAUACAGGUAACCUUGGUAGACUAGAGCUUGGCAUUGUAUAAAAGCUGCUAAAGGCUGGCAUGUUUGUUUUUUACAGGUUGUUCUCACUUGGCAAAUCUUUGCCUACUAUGGAGCUUAGGUAGGUUUCUUGGGAUCCUGGUAUAUAAUUUUAUUUGCUGUUCUCAUUUUUCAGCCCAGCCAUCUUUGGUGUUGGAUGUCCAGAAGCAGUUGCAUGUAUCCUUGGACAGUUGGAUUGGUAAUGGCACUAUUGCGCUCUCUAAACUAGAAGAGCCACAUUUUUUGUUUAAGAGAAAAGUGAAACAUAGAUCCACAGAGGAUCUUUAUGCUUUGCAUGUGAUUAUGCUUUGAGAAUAUUUGUUUUUGUUAACUACAAAAAUCCUGUUUCUCUUGAACUGGGCCAUCCACCUACCAUUAUGGUUCUGUCAUUCUUCAUCUCACAUCUUUGUUUUACAGAUUGGGCUAUACUGCAGAAAGCAGAUGCCUGGAUGACAAAUGAUUGCACUAUUUGUUUUUUACAGGUCUUCCUGGUUUGGUGAAUGUCUGCCCACUGUGCAGCUUGCUUAGGAGCCUUUUUCAUUUGGUAGGUAUACAAGUGGAUAGAGUGAUUUAUGCUAAUUGUCAUUCUUCAGCUUGCAUCUUUGUUUUACAGAUUGGGCACCAGUGUAGAGAAAGUUAGCCUUGGACUUCUGGAGCUUGUGAUCAACAUGUGAGUAUAGGAACAGAUGUGCAUUGAAAAGAAGAGAUUGUUUAUCCUAGGCAUUCAUUUUUCUUGUUGGUCCCCAAUAUAUGAUUAGCAGCAGAUAACCAUGGACUGCUGGUGCUUGGGAUCCUUAUACGAGUAAAAGGAAUAGAAAUGCAUGUAUAAAGAGAGAUUCUUUAGCCUGGCCAUCUAAAGCAUUAUUUAUUUAUUUUUUAUAUAUACUGUAUAUAGGUUACCUGGUCAAUUAUUGCUAUGGUACUUCUGUAUCUACUUGGAAUCCUGUUACUUUUGGAUGUAUGAGUGAAUGGAUAAGUUCACUAUGGCAUUCUUCAUCCCAAGCAUCUUAUUUUACAGAUUGAGCUUUAGAAUAGAACAAGCUAUAGGUGCAGGUAACCUUGGACUGCUGGAGCUUGUGAUCGAUAUGUACAAGAAGUUGGUGUAUCAACAGCAGGAGAGAUUUUUCAGCCUGGCAUGUUUGUUCUUACAGGUUUUCCUAAUUUGCAUAACAUCUAGACUCUGUAAUGCUUCUGACCCUGCUUCUAUUGGUAGGUAUAAGUG